rfam:Macaca mulatta chromosome 7, whole genome shotgun sequence.
AUCUACAGCCAUACCACCCUGAACGCACCCGAUCUUGUCUGAUCUUGGAAGCUAAGCAGGGUCAGGCUUGGUUAGUACUUGGAUGGGAGAUAAAAUGAAUAGUAGAAGGAAUAUGACUU